AUUGAUUAGACUCUAUGUCUUCUUUCUAUUUCUGUUCCUGAUUUUUACCUUUAUAUCUUUGGAAACUCUGAGUAUGUUUGCUGUAAGCAGAGACUUCUGAUAUAUGCUCAACUUGACAAAAUGCAUAAUAGUAGAAGAUGGAAUGCCUAGGAAAAUAAAAAAGUGGUUCUUUGAAAAGCAUUUAAAUGGAAAAAGCUCUGGCAAGACUGGUUAAGAAAGAAAAGACAUGGUACAAAGAAACGCUGUUUGGAAUCUUUUUAAAAAUAGUAAAUAUAA
rnacentral:lncRNA from 1 species